UGGUGUGUAAAUGUCAAAACACUACAGGUGACUGGGACGGGAGAGAGUUUGGGAGCCCAGAAGAUACACAUUAUUUACUGUAUGUGCUGGUUUUAUAAAGGGUCUUCAAAUUCAUUCUGACAUGACAUGUUAAUAAAGCAUUCUAGCACCACUGGGUUCACAUCCAGGUUCUGAUGCUUACCAACUCUUUCGCCUUCAGAAUGGGACAGAGAAUUCCAAGCAUGGAGCCUGACACAGGGCUUGAUCCCAUGACCUGAUCUGCAAUCAAAGUCAGACGCAUAAAUGAUGGAGCCACCCAGGCACCCCAAAAGCCCAUUUUGAAAAUAACGUACUAAAAUGACACUUUUUGUUUCCUUUAGUUACACAUAUGUAAAGAAACUCAUUUAAAAAAAUGAUAAAAAAG